rnacentral:rRNA from 1 species
AGAGUUUGAUCCUGGCUCAGGAUGAACGCUAGCGGCAGGCUUAACACAUGCAAGUCGAGGGGCAGCGGGGAGGAAGCUUGCUUUCUCCGCCGGCGACCGGCGCACGGGUGAGUAACACGUAUGCAACCUGCCCCUGUCAGGGGGACAACCCGCCGAAAGGCGGGCUAAACCCGCGUACAUGCCACCGGGGCAUCCCGGAGGCAGGAAAGGCUUCGGCCGGACAGGGAUGGGCAUGCGGCGCAUUAGGCAGUAGGCGGGGUAACGGCCCACCUAACCGACGAUGCGUAGGGGUUCUGAGAGGAAGGUCCCCCACACUGGUACUGAGACACGGACCAGACUCCUACGGGAGGCAGCAGUGAGGAAUAUUGGUCAAUGGUCGGGAGACUGAACCAGCCAAGCCGCGUGAGGGAGGAAGGUACAGAGUAUCGUAAACCUCUUUUGUCAGGGAACAAAGGCGGGGACGUGUCCCCGGAUGAGUGUACCUGAAGAAAAAGCAUCGGCUAACUCCGUGCCAGCAGCCGCGGUAAUACGGAGGAUGCGAGCGUUAUCCGGAUUUAUUGGGUUUAAAGGGUGCGCAGGCGGUCUGUUAAGUCAGCGGUCAAAGCCCGGGGCUCAACCCCGGCCCGCCGUUGAAACUGGCAGUCUCGAGUUGGAGAGAAGUAUGCGGAAUGCGCGGUGUAGCGGUGAAAUGCAUAGAUAUCGCGCAGAACUCCGAUUGCGAAGGCAGCAUGCCGGCUCCACACUGACGCUGAGGCACGAAAGCGUGGGUAUCGAACAGGAUUAGAUACCCUGGUAGUCCACGCAGUAAACGAUGAAUGCUGGCUGUCCGGGGGGACUGACCCCUGGGUGGCGAAGCGAAAGCGAUAAGCAUUCCACCUGGGGAGUACGCCGGCAACGGUGAAACUCAAAGGAAUUGACGGGGGCCUGCACAAGCGGAGGAACAUGUGGUUUAAUUCGAUGAUACGCGAGGAACCUUACCCGGGCUCAAACGGGGAGUGGCGCAGGCAGAGACGCCUGUUUCCCACGGGACACUCCCCGAGGUGCUGCAUGGUUGUCGUCAGCUCGUGCCGUGAGGUGUCGGCUUAAGUGCCAUAACGAGCGCAACCCCCGCGUGCAGUUGCUAACAGAUAACGCUGAGGACUCUGCACGGACUGCCGGCGCAAGCCGCGAGGAAGGCGGGGAUGACGUCAAAUCAGCACGGCCCUUACGUCCAGGGCGACACACGUGUUACAAUGGGUGGUACAGCGGGAAGCCAGGCGGCGACGCCGAGCGGAACCCGAAAUCCACUCUCAGUUCGGAUCGGAGUCUGCAACCCGACUCCGUGAAGCUGGAUUCGCUAGUAAUCGCGCAUCAGCCAUGGCGCGGUGAAUACGUUCCCGGGCCUUGCACUCACCGCCCGUCAAG